UGGGGAAUAUUGCGCAAUGGGGGGAACCCUGACGCAGCCAUGCCGCGUGAAUGAAGAAGGCCUUAGGGUUGUAAAGUUCUUUCGGUAUUGAGGAAGGUUGAUGUGUUAAUAGCACAUCAAAUUGACGUUAAAUACAGAAGAAGCACCGGCUAACUCCGUGCCAGCAGCCGCGGUAAUACGGAGGGUGCGAGCGUUAAUCGGAAUAACUGGGCGUAAAGGGCACGCAGGCGGUUAUUUAAGUGAGGUGUGAAAGCCCUGGGCUUAACCUAGGAAUUGCAUUUCAGACUGGGUAACUAGAGUACUUUAGGGAGGGGUAGAAUUCCACGUGUAGCGGUGAAAUGCGUAGAGAUGUGGAGGAAUACCGAAGGCGAAGGCAGCCCCUUGGGGAUGUACUGACGCUCAUGUGCGAAAGCGUGGGGAGCAAACAGGAUUAGAUACCCUGGUAGUCCACGCUGUAAACGCUGUCGAUUUGGGGGUUGGGGUUUAACUCUGGCGCCCGUAGCUAACGUGAUAAAUCGACCGCCUGGGGAGUACGGCCGCAAGGUUA
rnacentral:rRNA from 1 species